GUGGCCUUAAUUCAGUUGGUAGAAUUCAAGAUUGUGAUUCUUGUAGUCAUGGGUUCAAGUCCCAUAGGUCACCCCA
rnacentral:tRNA from 1 species